rnacentral:tRNA from 1 species
UAAAAAGUGGUGUAGAGGAUGCACUAGAAGUUUUGAUCUUUGGGGGGUAGGUUCGAGUCCUAUUUUUUUAG